AUCUCUCUCCAUAUGAAGAGACACAAAUCCCUUUCCUUUCUCUGUAUAUAUAUGUAUAUAUUCUCAGUUACUGUAAAUUUUCCUAUAAUGGCCAAUGAAGAGGCAAAGAGAAAAAUUAGUACUGAAGGAGGAGGAGGAGAAGCGAAGUGGGUGAAACACUAUUCAUCAAAUCAGAGUAUACUGUUAAUUGGAGAAGGAGAUUUCUCUUUCUAACAUUGUGGCUACUUCUCUUGAUCCAUAUGAUAUUGUGGUUAAGAUGUACAAGAAUGCAAAAUCUAAUCUCCAAAAUCUAUUGAAGUUAGGAGCAACUAUAUUACAUGGAGCGGAUGCAACCAAAAUGAAAUUUCAUCCAGAUUUGAAGAUGCAGAAAUUUGAUAGGAUCAUUUUUAACUUUCCUCAUGCAGGCUUCCAUGGCAAGGAAGAUGAAGUCCAUCUGAUCGAGAUGCAUAGGGAACUUGUGCAAGGCUUCUUCAAGAAUGCAAUUAGCUUGCUGCGACCUUACAGGGGAAAUACAUGUAUCUCACAAAACGACAUCUCCAUUUUGCUACUGGAAAAUUGAGGAACUUGCUUGUAGAAACUUUUUAUCACUAAUCGAGCGUACUGAUUUCAAGAUUCAAGACUAUGCAGGUUAUCAAAACAAGAGAGGACAUGGCAUUAGAUGUGAUGAGCCCUUCGGUUUGGGACACUGCAGUAACUUCAAGUUUGCUAUUAAAAAGUGCUCCAGAGUGAUUAAUCAUUUUAUAGGGCGUAGGCCAUCAUUUCUACAAUUCAGGCACUUCAAUUAUGCUUCUGAAACAUACGACAGGAGAGACUAUGAAAGGUACGUUAAAACACCUCUAAGAAUUAUCAUUAGGAGAAAGGAAAGUGUUAAUGCUUCAAAUGGGUACUCAAGUUGUGGUCCGGACUCAGAAGAAAAA